rnacentral:rRNA from 2 species
UGGCGGCGUGCUAAUACAUGCAAGUCGAACGAACUCUGGUAUUGAUUGGUGCUUGCAUCAUGAUUUACAUUUGAGUGAGUGGCGAACUGGUGAGUAACACGUGGGAAACCUGCCCAGAAGCGGGGGAUAACACCUGGAAACAGAUGCUAAUACCGCAUAACAACUUGGACCGCAUGGUCCGAGUUUGAAAGAUGGCUUCGGCUAUCACUUUUGGAUGGUCCCGCGGCGUAUUAGCUAGAUGGUGGGGUAACGGCUCACCAUGGCAAUGAUACGUAGCCGACCUGAGAGGGUAAUCGGCCACAUUGGGACUGAGACACGGCCCAAACUCCUACGGGAGGCAGCAGUAGGGAAUCUUCCACAAUGGGCGAAAGUCUGAUGGAGCAACGCCGCGUGAGUGAAGAAGGGUUUCGGCUCGUAAAACUCUGUUGUUAAAGAAGGACAUAUCUGAGAGUAACUGUUCAGGUAUUGACGGUAUUUAACCAGAAAGCCACGGCUAACUACGUGCCAGCAGCCGCGGUAAUACGUAGGUGGCAAGCGUUGUCCGGAUUUAUUGGGCGUAAAGCGAGCGCAGGCGGUUUUUUAAGUCUGAUGUGAAAGCCUUCGGCUCAACCGAAGAAGUGCAUCGGAAACUGGGAAACUUGAGUGCAGAAGAGGACAGUGGAACUCCAUGUGUAGCGGUGAAAUCCGUAGAUAUAUGGAAGAACACCAGUGGCCAAGGCGGCUGUCUGGUCUGUAACUGACGCUGAGGCUCGAAAGUAUGGGUAGCAAACAGGAUUAGAUACCCUGGUAGUCCAUACCGUAAACGAUGAAUGCUAAGUGUUGGAGGGUUUCCGCCCUUCAGUGCUGCAGCUAACGCAUUAAGCAUUCCGCCUGGGGAGUACGGCCGCAAGGCUGAAACUCAAAGGAAUUGACGGGGGCCCGCACAAGCGGUGGAGCAUGUGGUUUAAUUCGAAGCUACGCGAAGAACCUUACCAGGUCUUGACAUACUAUGCAAAUCUAAGAGAUUAGACGUUCCCUUCGGGGACAUGGAUACAGGUGGUGCAUGGUUGUCGUCAGCUCGUGUCGUGAGAUGUUGGGUUAAGUCCCGCAACGAGCGCAACCCUUAUUAUCAGUUGCCAGCAUUAAGUUGGGCACUCUGGUGAGACUGCCGGUGACAAACCGGAGGAAGGUGGGGAUGACGUCAAAUCAUCAUGCCCCUUAUGACCUGGGCUACACACGUGCUACAAUGGAUGGUACAACGAGUUGCGAACUCGCGAGAGUAAGCUAAUCUCUUAAAGCCAUUCUCAGUUCGGAUUGUAGGCUGCAACUCGCCUACAUGAAGUCGGAAUCGCUAGUAAUCGCGGAUCAGCAUGCCGCGGUGAAUACGUUCCCGGGCCUUGUACACACCGCCCGUCACACCAUGAGAGUUUGUAACACCCAAAGUCGGUGGGGUAACCUUUUAGGAACCAGCCGCCUAAGGUGGGACAGAUGAUUAGGGUGAAGUCGUAACAAGGUAGCCGUAGAG